rnacentral:lncRNA from 1 species
AAUGACUGCCAAAUAGCCCGGUGCCUCUUUACUCGCCUGCCUCGUUCCUGUGCAUCCCUCCUGAGGUCACCACUUCUAUGUAGCCUUUCUCCUUUCUGAGGAGCAAUAAUCCAAUCUGAUCAGUCCAGUCUAAUUCUAGGGGCUGAUCAGGAUGCACCUGGCAGGGAAAGUGGGCACCUCGGACGAUGGAAGCCACUGCAGGGAAGAUGGGGGGAGAGCUCCCAAAGCCAGACCGGCGUAAGGCAUUUCUGGGACCUAAAUUUCAAUGGGGCUCUGUUUUGCCUGGAAACUGUUCAUAAAAUAAAAUAAGCCUAUGUGUGUAUGAGUAUGAAGGGAUGGAUGGUGAUGUUUUCCUUAAAAAAACAAAAAUAACAAAGUGCAUGUGUGUACACAGCAGUCGGGGUCCCAAGUCUGUGUGGUAUCAGGCCUAGUCACGGCACCACUCACCUGGGCCUCAGUUUCCCCAGUCUUUAAAGAGCUAAGAGAGUUCUCGUUCUGUCUGCUGCACGGGCCAGGAGAGUCACGUGAGGCGAGGUGAGAACACGUUGUGUAAAUGAUGAAGUGUUUGCUCUGCACACGUGAGGUGCUGUCUUUACUACCUUAGGGAAAAACCCUCUACUCUGAGGCCGUUGUUUUAGGAUUCAAAUGGUUAGUGAUUGACAUGGUGCCGGGCACUUACUAAGUGAUCAGGAUGAUUUUGUUGACUUGAACCGUGGUGUCAAAAUCCUCUGCAUUGGCUGUAAGAAAGAGGUGGGCUGAGCACGGUGAGAAAUGGAGUCGAAACAGAGAGCAUCCCAGGCCUCUGAAGGCCUUCGAACAUGACAACGAGUUGGCCCCCACUUUGGGGGAUUGGAGUGGACGGUUUGGAGAUCCCCCUGGGACAUACGCCUGAGAGCCCUAAGUGUUUGUCCCGGGGUCCAAGCCUGUCGUCUGCAGCCCUUCAUUGCCCUGCCUAGCUUGGACUGCGUAAGCGUCUGCUGGGCCCAAACCCCAGCCCGGUCCACACACUUGGGCCAUCUCUCCUGGGGGACCGGAUUGUGCGGCCUCCAGAGCUGCCUGGCAGAGGGCACACCUUCUCGGCGCCCUGGUGCCGCACCGCGCCGCGCUCCCAACACCGGCUUGCUUAUGCUUUGUCCUGAUGAUGAUGAAUGAGGUCAGCCUGGCUUACCAUUCACAAAAUAAUUCUUUAUUGCAGAGAAAGCUUUUCUCUAUCUGAGAUCUGCCCUUGUUAUCUACAGCAGUUAUGCUUUCCCUGGCUUUUGGUGUUUGCCUACGUGUAAUGAAGUAGGGAGUAACCCAGGGAGAACGCAGGUAGGGCCUGCUCCUUCCUCUGGGCUAGGGGCGUUCCACCAGGCCCUCAAUCAGCCCCCAGGCCAUAAAGGCAACAAAACAUUUAUCGCUACACACAAACCUACAUAUACACACUUAUGCACACGUAUACAUAUGCGUACACACACACACGUAUCCCAGGAUGCUAUCCUCGUGGAGCUAACAUUUGAUAUUCUAAGUAUUAAAGUUUGAGGCACCAACAGGCUGUCUUAAAAGGCUCAUUCAGCCUGUCUGCCUUGGAGCUAUUUUAUUUAUAAUUCUUCUUGUCACGUCAAAGAACUCUGUGUUUCUUGCAGACUGUGUUCGGGUGGUUGAGUGUUUGGUUUUUGGCUACAGCCGGUUACUUUUUCCGAAUCUGUAGGUCCAGGUGUGCGUUGACAAGGUUUUUCCCAACUCGAGAAGUUUCUCAGGGAGCCUUGGAGUCCUUCUAUAAAUUUCUGGCAUUCUACGUGUGAGAGACUUCCAGUUUUGGAGAAGUCGGGAGAGUGAGGGAAGGAGCGUGCGGUUCUGAGUCCGCUGCCUCCUCUCAGACAGAAAGUCAACGGGCAGCAUCUUGCAGUAUAUUUAGAAUGCAGACUUGAAAAACUGACGGAUAAGAUAUUAUUAGCAAAGGUACAAACCUUUGAUGAUAUUCAAAAACCCCUGCCUCUGUGCAUCAUUGAAAACCAAGCGAAAAAGGAGUGAAAAUAGUGAAAAUACCUAUCCACGUCUCUGAUUACUUUGAAAUCGAUUUUAAAAAUAUGUUUAUCAUGUAAAUAUUAUGUAGACUUUCAUUUUCAAGGUCAGUGUCCCUUCUUGUCUGGU